CACCUUGGUGCGGUCUGGACGGUGGCGACGGCAGGAGGGCGCCGUCCUUCCUACUCGAGGAGGCGGAGGACGAGGGGCGCACCUAGCUGGCGGCCCUGUCCUGCUCGAGGAGGCGGGCGCUGCCGAGCUCAAGCACGGCCACGACGACCCACCUCGGCAGAGAUGCAGGGAGGGAGGGACUUCCAUGGAUUGGACUGCAAGGAUUGGAUGCAAACCAAUGCACAUGAGGAGGAGAGAUGCAAGCCAGGUCAUGACCUAAAGAUGUCCUUGGAGAAGAUGGCCAUUGGAGUGUAGGGGAGAAACAACCUUGUCCUGCUCGAGGAGGAGUAGGAGGACCACCCGAGCUCGACGACGACAUGGCAACAGGAUCUUCUGUUUGUUGUACUGACUGUAUGCCACCUCCAUCGUUGCAGCCUUGUCUCCCCCACCACCGCCCCUCGGCCUCCUAUAAUGUUGUUGUGGAUUCUUAGAAUGGAAAUGUUAUGUACACAAAAAAUAUACUAUGGUCUGUGUUUGCAAAUCCAUGGCUGUUGAAUCAUGUUUGUAUAAGCAUUUGUAAAUA